UGGGGAAUCUUCCGCAAUGGACGAAAGUCUGACGGAGCAACGCCGCGUGAGUGAAGACGGCCUUCGGGUUGUAAAGCUCUGUGAUCCGGGACGAAAGAGCCUGAGGUAAAUAGCCUAAGGAAGUGACGGUACCGGAAAAGCAAGCCACGGCUAACUACGUGCCAGCAGCCGCGGUAAUACGUAGGUGGCAAGCGUUGUCCGGAAUUAUUGGGCGUAAAGCGCGCGCAGGCGGCUUACUAAGUCCAUCUUAAAAGUGCGGGGCUUAACCCCGUGAUGGGAUGGAAACUGGAAAGCUGGAGUAUCGGAGAGGAAAGUGGAAUUCCUAGUGUAGCGGUGAAAUGCGUAGAGAUUAGGAAGAACACCGGUGGCGAAGGCGACUUUCUGGACGAAAACUGACGCUGAGGCGCGAAAGCGUGAGGAGCAAACAGG
rnacentral:rRNA from 1 species